UUUGGAAGGGCGUGGGCGUUACCCUUAAGAUAGCGGGUCAGGUUCGGAAGAAAGCAGCCCAGCUUUUGUUUGACGGGUCAUGUUCCCUUCCACUUAU
rnacentral:SRP_RNA from 1 species